AGUGGCGGACGGGUGAGUAACGCGUGGGUAACCGUGCCUCACACUGGGGGACAACAGUUAGAAAUGACUGCUAAUACCGCAUAAGCGCACAGGACCGCAUGGUCCGGUGUGAAAAACUCCGGUGGUGUGAGAUGGACCCGCGUUUGAUUAGCUAGUUGGUGGGGUAACGGCCUACCAAGGCGACGAUCAAUAGCCGACCUGAGAGGGUGACCGGCCACAUUGGGACUGAGACACGGCCCAA
rnacentral:rRNA from 1 species